rnacentral:rRNA from 1 species
AUUGAACGCUGGCGGCAGGCCUAACACAUGCAAGUCGAGCGAGCGGCGGACGGGUGAGUAAUGUAUGGGGAUCUUCCCGAUAGAGGGGGUUAACUACUGGAAACUGUUGCUAAUACCGCAUACUAUCGCAUGAACCCAUAUGGGAUUAGCUAGUAGGUGGGGUAAAGGCUGACCUAGGCGACGAUCUCUAGCUGGUGGGAGAGGAUGAUCAGCCACACUGGAACUGAGACACGGCCCAGACUCCUACGGGAGGCAGCAGUGGGGAAUAUUGGACAAUGGGCGAAAGCCUGAUGCAGCCAUGCCGCGUGUAUGAAGAAGGUCUUAGGGUUGUAAAGUACUUUAAGCGGGGAGGCGUUACCCGCAGAAGAAGCACCGGCUAACUCCGUGCCAGCAGCCGCGGUAAUAC